rnacentral:rRNA from 1 species
CCUACGGGAGGCAGCAGUGGGGAAUCUUGCGCAAUGGACGAAAGUCUGACGCAGCCACGCCGCGUGAGUGAAGAAGGCCUUCGGGUUGUAAAGCUCUGUCACCUGGGACGAAAACACUGACGGUUAAUAGCCGUCGGAAUUGACGGUACCAGGGGAGGAAGCACCGGCUAACUUCGUGCCAGCAGCCGCGGUAAUACGAAGGGUGCAAGCGUUGCUCGGAAUUAUUGGGCGUAAAGGGUUGGUAGGUGGUCUUGUUUGUCUAAGGUGAAAUCCCAGGGCUUAACCCUGGAAGUGCCUUAGAAACGGCAAGACUAGAGUUCUAGAGGGGUUUGUGGAAUUCCCGGUGUAGCGGUGAAAUGCGUAGAGAUCGGGAGGAACACCAGCGGCGAAGGCGGCAAACUGGAUAGAUACUGACACUCAACAACGAAAGCGUGGGGAGCAAACAGGAUUAGAUACCCUGGUAGUCCACGCUGUAAACGAUGGGUACUAGGCUUUGUGGGAAUAGACCCCUGCAGAGCCGGAGCUAACGCAAUAAGUACCCCGCCUGGGAAGUACGGUCGCAAGACUAAAACUCAAAGGAAAUUGACGG